rnacentral:tRNA from 1 species
UUCAACUUGGCAGAAAAAUGCAAUAAAUUUAGAAUUUAUUAAUGAAUAUUAUUAAUUCAGUUGAAA